AACGUACGCUGGCGGCAUGCCUAACACGUGCAAGUCGAACGAGACCUUCGGGUCUAGUGGCGCACGGGUGCGUAACGCGUGGGAACCUGCCCUUAGGUUCGGAAUAACUCCCCGAAAGGGGUGCUAAUACCGGAUAAUGUCUUCGGACCAAAGAUUUAUCGCCUUUGGAUGGGCCCGCGUUGGGUUAGCUAGUUGGUAGGGUAAAAGCCUACCAAGGCGACGAUCCAUAGCUGGUCUGAGAGGAUGAUCAGCCACACUGGGACUGAGACACGGCCCAGACUCCUACGGGAGGCAGCAGUGGGGAAUAUUGGACAAUGGGCGAAAGCCUGAUCCAGCAAUGCCGCGUGAGUGAUGAAGGCCUUAGGGUUGUAAAGCUCUUUUACCCGGGAUGAUAAUGACAGUACCGGGAGAAUAAGCGCCGGCUAACUCCGUG
rnacentral:rRNA from 1 species